UGAACGCUGGCGGCGUGCUUAACACAUGCAAGUCGAACGAACCUUCGGGUUAGUGGCGGACGGGUGAGUAACGCGUGGGAAUCUGCCCUCAGGAGGGGGAUAACGGCCGGAAACGGCCGCUAAUACCCCAUAUGCCGAGAGGUGAAAUGAAUUUCGCCUGAGGAUGAGCCCGCGUCUGAUUAGCUAGUUGGUGAGGUAAGAGCUCACCAAGGCAUCGAUCAGUAGCUGGUCUGAGAGGAUGAUCAGCCACACUGGGACUGAGACACGGCCCAGACUCCUACGGGAGGCAGCAGUGGGGAAUUUUCCGCAAUGGGCGAAAGCCUGACGGAGCAACGCCGCGUGAGGGAUGAAGGCCUCUGGGCUGUAAACCUCUUUUAUCAAGGAAGAAGAUCUGACGGUACUUGAUGAAUAAGCCACGGCUAAUUC
rnacentral:rRNA from 1 species